ensembl:lncRNA
AGACAGUGAUGAGGCUGAGGCAGGCUGCAAUUCAAGAGGAGGUGGAGGAGACAGACAGUGAUGAGGCGGAGGCAGGCUGCAAUUCAGGAGGAGGUGGAGGAGACAGACAGUGAUGAGGCGGAGGCAGGCUGCAAUUCAGGAGGAGGUGGAGGAGACAGACAGUGAUGAGGCGGAGGCAGGCUGCAAUUCAGGAGUAGGUGGAGAAGACAGACAGUAAUGAGGCGGAGGCAGGCUGCAAUUCAGGAGGAGGUGGAGGAGACAGACAGUGAUGAAGUGGAGGCAGGCUGCAAUUCAGGAGGAGUUGUUUCGGUUUAUAUUGGUGUUUGUUCGUCUUAUCUCGAUCGUCCAGUGGAGUUUAUAGUUUAACAACCUUUUUUUUUUUACCACUGGUAUCACUGGUGACCUUUUAAGAAAGCCCUGUGUCGAGGUUCAGCUUAAUUUGGCAGGAGUGACUUAAUUCAUCCUCAACAUGGUGCUCCAUUCUCUCCCUGCGAAAACACAUUUCCAUCAUCUGAAUUGUUAGUGUCCCCAGGAGGCCGUACAUUGACUUUCAGGUUCCUGUGAUUACAGGAAGUGUCUUAAUUGGGGGUCAUAGGGGCGGUUUUGAAGGAUUAUAAAAGUUAAAUCAACCCAAAAGCAUUUUUGACCUCUAUUGGACAUAAUGGUCUUGCAGUUCAAGAAAUUAAAAUUACCUGGCUACCCAGACUCCUCACUCCGGCCAAACGCCCACGAACGUUAUUUUCUUCUUCGCAAUGAGUCUGGAUCUGAGUACCUCCGUUGGGAGGCAGUCUCAGACUAACGAAUGUAGCAAACGACAGAGCAGCAGAAUCAUUUAGUGUGAGUCGUUAGGCUUAAAAAUUGUUAGAAUGAAUUCUGAAGAGCAUGAUGGUCACAUUUUUAUAUAUUUACUUGAAACUGUCUGUCUGUCUGCCUGUGCAUGUCUUGCUGUCUGUCUGUCUUUCUGCCUGCCUACAGCUCUCUGUCUGCCUGCCUGCCUGCCUGCCUGCCUGUCUGGUUCUCGGAAUAUCUUUCUUUGAGUGUCUGUUUGUCUGUCUGAGUCUUUCACCAAUUUACCCAUUGCAGCUGUAUCACCAACCUUUUCGCCUUGGAAGCAAUGUAUUGACUUAUGCGCCAAUGCCCUGUCUGUGAAGAUGGGAGAGAGGAGGAAGAGAAAGGAAGGAG